rnacentral:rRNA from 1 species
GAUGAACGCUGGCGGCGUGCCUAAUACAUGCAAGUCGAGCGAACAGACGAGGAGCUUGCUCCUCUGACGUUAGCGGCGGACGGGUGAGUAACACGUGGAUAACCUACCUAUAAGACUGGGAUAACUUCGUGAAACCGGAGCUAAUACCGGAUAAUAUAUUGAACCGCAUGGUUCAAUAGUUAAAGACGGUUUUGCUGUCACUUAUAGCUGGAUCCGCGCCGCAUUAGCUAGUUGGUAAGGUAACGGCUUACCAAGGCAACGAUGCGUAGCCGACCUGAGAGGGUGAUCGGCCACACUGGAACUGAGACACGGUCCAGACUCCUACGGGAGGCAGCAGUAGGGAAUCUUCCGCAAUGGGCGAAAGCCUGACGGAGCAACGCCGCGUGAGUGAUGAAGGUCUUCGGAUCGUAAAACUCUGUUAUUAGGGAAGAACAAAUGUGUAAGUAACUAUGCACGUCUUGACGGUACCUAAUCAGAAAGCCACGGCUAACUACGUG